CUAAUACAUGCAGUCGAACGCACUCUCGUUUAGAUUGAAGGAGCUUGCUCCUGAUUGAUAAACAUUUGAGUGAGUGGCGGACGGGUGAGUAACACGUGGGUAACCUGCCCUAAAGUGGGGGAUAACAUUUGGAAACAGAUGCUAAUACCGCAUAAAACCUAACACCGCAGGGUGUAGGGUUGAAAGAUGGUUUCGGCUAUCACUUUAGGAUGGACCCGCGGUGCAUUAGUUAGUUGGUGAGGUAAAGGCUCACCAAGACCGUGAUGCAUAGCCGACCUGAGAGGGUAAUCGGCCACACUGGGACUGAGACACGGCCCAGACUCCUACGGGAGGCAGCAGUAGGGAAUCUUCCACAAUGGACGAAAGUCUGAUGGAGCAACGCCGCGUGAGUGAAGAAGGUUUUCGGAUCGUAAAACUCUGUUGUUGGAGAAGAAUGUAUCUGAUAGUAACUGAUCAGGUAGUGACGGUAUCCAACCAGAAAGCCACGGCUAACUACGUGCCAGCAGCCGCGGUAAUACGUAGGUGGCAAGCGUUGUCCGGAUUUAUUGGGCGUAAAGCGAGCGCAGGCGGUUUCUUAAGUCUGAUGUGAAAGCCUUCGGCUCAACCGAAGAAGUGCAUCGGAAACUGGGAAACUUGAGUGCAGAAGAGGACAGUGGAACUCCAUGUGUAGCGGUGAAAUGCGUAGAUAUAUGGAAGAACACCAGUGGCGAAGGCGGCUGUCUGGUCUGUAACUGACGCUGAGGCUCGAAAGCAUGGGUAGCAAACAGGAUUAGAUACCCUGGUAGUCCAUGCCGUAAACGAUGAGUGCUAGGUGUUGGAGGGUUUCCGCCCUUCAGUGCCGCAGCUAACGCAUUAAGCACUCCGCCUGGGGAGUACGACCGCAAGGUUGAAACUCAAAGGAAUUGACGGGGGCCCGCACAAGCGGUGGAGCAUGUGGUUUAAUUCGAAGCAACGCGAAGAACCUUACCAGGUCUUGACAUCCUUUGACCACUCUAGAGAUAGAGCUUUCCCUUCGGGGACAAAAUGACAGGUGGUGCAUGGUUGUCUUCACCUCCUGUCCUGAGAAGUUUGGUUUAAUUCCCGCAACGAGCGCAACCCUUAUUACUAGUUGCCAGCAUUUAGUUGGG
rnacentral:rRNA from 1 species